UCAGGAAUUUUGGACAAUGGGGGAAACCCUGAUCCAGCCAUGCCGCGUGAGUGACGAAGGCCUUAGGGUUGUAAAACUCUUUCGUCGGGGACGAUAAUGACGGUACCCGAAGAAGAAGCUCCGGCUAACUUCGUGCCAGCAGCCGCGGUAAUACGUAGGGUGCGAGCGUUAAUCGGAAUUACUGGGCGUAAAGCGUGCGCAGGCGGCUUUGCAAGACAGAUGUGAAAUCCCCGGGCUCAACCUGGGAACUGCAUUUGUGACUGCAAGGCUAGAGUACGGUAGAGGGGGAUGGAAUUCCGCGUGUAGCAGUGAAAUGCGUAGAUAUGCGGAGGAACACCGAUGGCGAAGGCAAUCCCCUGGACCUGUACUGACGCUCAUGCACGAAAGCGUGGGGAGCAAACAGGAUUAGAUACCCCCGUAGUCCCUGAGCGGGCUGGCAAGGCGCAU
rnacentral:rRNA from 1 species